CUACGGAGGGGGUUAGCGUUGUUCGGAAUUACUGGGCGUAAAGCGCACGUAGGCGGAUUGGAAAGUUGGGGGUGAAAUCCCAGGGCUCAACCCUGGAACUGCCUCCAAAACUAACAGUCUAGAGUUCGAGAGAGGUGAGUGGAAUUCCAAGUGUAGAGGUGAAAUUCGUAGAUAUUUGGAGGAACACCAGUGGCGAAGGCGGCUCACUGGCUCGAUACUGACGCUGAGGUGCGAAAGCGUGGGGAGCAAACAGGAUUAGAAACCCUUGUAGUCC
rnacentral:rRNA from 1 species